rnacentral:lncRNA from 1 species
AUAUGCUAUUAGGUGGGUAUGAUUCUCCUCCAGCUGCUGUUAAACUAGUUCAGCUUGUCUACUUAUGUCCAUGAAUAGAUCAAAGUUAAGGGAGAAACCUUGCACAUGCAGAUUAAAGUAACCACUGGAACUUGCCAUAUCCACCCUGUAUGAAUUUAUAUACUAAACUGAGAAGGCCUCACAAACUGCAGGUAUGAUUUCUGUGAAGCAGCUGCCCUGCAGAUCCACCUGGCUGUUGUGGAGCUAUUUGCACUGAAUCAUGGAGCUGGAAGAAAACUUGUCCACUGCUUUGUCAGAUGUUCAGAUAUCAUCUACCUGAUUCUGGGAAAUUAGGAACAGUGAAGCCGAGGUGUCUGCUUGAAUGCAAAGACUUCAUUUCUAAACUGCUCUUAAAUACUUCCUUUACAGGUGGUAAGCAAGUCCUGAUCCUGCACUAAAUGAUGCUUCAACAGACCUUCCUGCUGCUGAGUUCCAGGAUUUCCAAGGGCACAGUCAUUCAAAUAAAAGGAGGCUCUUCUGCUUUGGUUUUGUGGGGAUCAGCAGCUUGACUGUUCUCACUGCUCACCAUCUGACUGGUUGGUUACUGCCUUUAGCCUUGGAAUAUCCUUUUUGCAACAUUUGGCCUUUAUCUUGAAUAUCCCAGAUAGCUUUGAAGCUUUACCAUUAUUCACUCAUUUUUCCAAAUCACUCAAGUACCCUGAACAGUACAUACCUACGGCUGACAGCACGCUGUAUCUUGAAGAGAACCACUCUUGGCCAUGCAAAGUAGAGAAGAUAUUUACCACUCUGCCAUGGGCAGCUGCUUCAGCUUUGUGCCACAUCCUUCAGAACCUGGAGGUGGCCCAAACAACCAGCGCUGGUGGCCAUGGUUCUCCUUCAGGCUCCUGCUAAUGGAGGUAGAACAGACACAGACGGGGAGAAGAAAACCCUCCUCAUUGAAAAACUAGGAACUGACUUCAGGCAAUAGAAGUAAAUGUAGAAACAGGCAUUGCUGUCUGCUCGUUAUCUAAAGUUCAGGACAAUGACAACACUUCGUUAUAGUUUGCCUUGGAAGUAAGGUGUAUUACGCUAUCCUUCUGAUGUUGGUGUUAUUUUUUAAAUGCAAAAAACAGCCGAGCUGACGCCAGUUAUCAGGAAGCACCAGAAUAAAACUGCACACUGUAGUGCUGCUCUUAUCCAAGAGCAAGGAGCCCUGCUGAUGCAUCCUGCAGCACAGAGUUCAGUACUUGCUUUCCUGCUGCAAUAUCACAGAGAACUCUGUACCCAAAG